rnacentral:misc_RNA from 1 species
UUUUUUUUUUUUUUUUUUUUUUUUAAAUCUCUUCAUUUCACUUGCCAUUCAGACUCUAUCUGCACGGUUUUCCAUUGCAAAUGGCGGUCCAUGUCCAGUCCGUAGAGAACUUAACCAGCAGAUGGACCGUCGCUGCCCGGUGCUGUGACUUCUGCAAAACGGCAACCGCUGCUGUGUUUUGCCGAGCUGACUCGGCUUUCCUUUGUCUCAAUUGUGACACCAAGAUCCAUGCCGCGAAUAAGCUCGUGUCCAGACACGAGCGUAUUUGGAUGUGCGAGGUUUGUGAACAAGCACCAGCUGCCGUCAACUGCAAGGCUGACGCUGCUGCCCUCUGCGUCACCUGCGAUGCAGAUAUUCACUUGGCUAAUCCUCUUGCUC